CUCAACUGACCGAGCCACCCAUGAGCCCCUAUCAUGAAGAACUUCCAACCAGACUUAAUUAUACAGCAUCCUUAACAUCAAGGUUCUUUUAAAAUCUGGUUCAAAUAUUCUUUUCAGAAUAUAACUUUAUGUUCUGGUUCCUCAAUAUAUCUACCACAUGAUAUUUACAUUAUUAAAUGUUUAACUCUAUUACAAAAAUUAUAUGUAACCUCCAAAAGAUAUAGUUCUUGGGCUUUUUUUUUUUUUUUUUUUUUUACUGAUUUCAAAGACAGUUUUUAAAAGUAUUUUAAAAUACUGCUCAUUGACGGUAAGAGUUUUUUGGAAUUAAAACGUAUGCCCUAUUUACCUGAGGCCAUUGCACUUUUCCCAGCAUCCUUGCAGCUCACUAUGACUGUGCUGGAGACACACAGCAAGUGUGGCCUGGGAAUUACCUCCCAAGUAGAGCCUUUCAUGCAAUUCUCCAACCCUGUCUCCUCCCUGAGGCCUUUUCUCUGAGCGCUGACACAUAGAAAAGUUCUGAGUCACCAGAUGUCUGUGCUGAGCAGAGAGAGCCUCUUCUCCUCCCUCGCCACUGUUGGACCUUUACGCAAACAAGACAGAAACCUCUGUUUCAUAAAUCCAUUCAAUGUCGUGUUUUGUUUUGUUUUGUUUUUUAACAGCAGUAAACCUCAGUUGACUGAUUCAGAAGCCAAGUAAAACGAUCAAUGAGAUCCUCUUUCUAUAUCGGUUCCUGAGAAAGGGUUCGUUCCUCAGGAAACACAUCGAAGCAAAGAUCUGCUGGCAGAAGAUGAUAACUGCAUGAGAGCCUCGAUAAACCUCUUUUUCAAGUUCAGGAUGAGCCUACAAAUUCUAUGUUGUCAUGCAGUCUUGGAAUCCACUGUCCAGAGCUGUGGCUCAACACUAGACGACAAGACCGGAAGGUGAACAUGUACUCUGGAUGCUCCAAGUCAUCUACGCCGUAUGCCCCAGAUUGUGUUACAACAGCUCUACACAGAUGUUUCUGAUGCUGAAAGCCCUCUGUCACCCAUGCCUGUUUAAACUCUAAAAAUGAGAGCAUGAGAGAUUCAAGGAAGGGAACUUGGUGCCACAUCAUACUCAAGCAAAUCUGAUGAAGGAAGGAUGAUAAGGACUAUGGAUAUAUUAUCGACGCCUCUCAGGUGCUGCUUCAGAUUCCCGUUUUACCUAUUUUUGGAGCCCUUGACGCUUUGCUCAUCUCUGGCUGCUACUUGGGUGUUCCACUCCCCAUGCAAGCUGUCAGAUGCAAACUGGAACUCUCUUAUCGGCAAACACUGACCAGUGGAGGAUGGAAGAAACACAAAGAAAAGCCCCUCUCCUUUUCUCCUUUUAUGUCCAUUUUGGAGCAUUGUGUCUGUUCUAUACCCUAUCUGCUGAUGUAGCAAGUAACAGGGGGAACAUUCUUGUCUCUCCAUGAAGCAAGGCCUUCUGGUUAAUCCUUAUGCCUUUGUUUCUCACUCUUCCUUGUCCUAUAUUUUUUUAUGCUGCUCUGGAAUUUCUCAAAGUGUCAGCAUUCAAAAAAAUUUGAAAAAUGUAUUCUGCAAUGUCCAGUAUUGAAAUAGAACAGAGAUAGACUUAUUGUACUUUAGUCAAAUUACUUUGGGACUUCUUCUUUUCUAAAAGCAGAGGAAUGAGAGGUAUUCCAUUUGGCCUAUAGCCAAACCUGCAUAAAUAAGGAUAUUCACUCUAAAACGAAGUGGUUAGACUUGAUUAUCUCUCAGUCUCUUCCAGCAUCUUUCUGUUUAUUAAAAUGUGGUCAAACUUGAAGAUUCAGGACUCAACAACUAUUCUCAGAACUUGAAUUAAAAGAACACUUGAAACUUGCAUUUUGUAUUCUCAAUGCAGUAUCUCCUAGUAAAAUUAUGAGAAUUCCUAAGAGAAAUGAUACUCUUUAAGUGGUUCUAAUUAUGAAAAGCAAUAGAGUUUACAACACUGUAUCCUGUAAAGCAAGUUCUGCCAGGAGAGUUGAUAAAAUGUGGAGUUAGAAAGUUAAUUACUGACAGUUCAGGCGUAUUUGGACUUUGGCUGUAUAGUUAAAAUUCCACAUGUGGAUACACAGGAAAAUAUUCUCAAGAGAAAAUUCAGAAAUAGGAAUAUUGUGAGACCUUCUUGGCUAAUGGAAAUACAGGGUCUCUAUCUUCAGAAUAAGACAAUAUUUUUAAGGGGCCCCUGGGUGGCUCAGUUGGUUAAGCAUCCGACUUCAGCUCAGGUCAUGAUCUCACAAUUUGUGGUUCGAGCCCUGCAUGAG